CCGUGGGGAUUCGUCCCCAUCGAGAUAGCACCCUUUGUUUAUGAGUACCAUUUGUUUCCUCGGCGGGUCUGCCUGGACCCGCCGCUAGGACCCCCCCAAAAAACCUUUGCAGUUGCAGUACUUUCAGUAAUCAAAAAAUAUCA
rnacentral:misc_RNA from 2 species